rnacentral:rRNA from 1 species
AAAGAAUUUCGGUAUGGGAUGGGGAUGCGUUCCAUUAGUUAGUUGGCGGGGUAACGGCCCACCAAGACAACGAUGGAUAGGGGUUCUGAGAGGAAGGUCCCCCACAUUGGAACUGAGACACGGUCCAAACUCCUACGGGAGGCAGCAGUGAGGAAUAUUGGUCAAUGGACGAGAGUCUGAACCAGCCAAGUAGCGUGAAGGAUGACUGCCCUAUGGGUUGUAAACUUCUUUUAUAUGGGAAUAAAAUGUUCCACGUGUGGGAUUUUGUAUGUACCAUAUGAAUAAGGAUCGGCUAACUCCGUGCCAGCAGCCGCGGUAAUACGGAGGAUCCGAGCGUUAUCCGGAUUUAUUGGGUUUAAAGGGAGCGUAGGUGGAUUGUUAAGUCAGUUGUGAAAGUUUGCGGCUCAACCGUAAAAUUGCAGUUGAAACUGGCAGUCUUGAGUACAGUAGAGGUGGGCGGAAUUCGUGGUGUAGCGGUGAAAUGCUUAGAUAUCACGAAGAACUCCGAUUGCGAAGGCAGCUCACUGGACUGCAACUGACACUGAGGCUCGAAAGUGUGGGUAUCAAACAGGAUUAGAUACCCUGGUAGUCCACACAGUAAACGAUGAAUACUCGCUGUUUGCGAUAUACGGCAA